AUAAUUUUUACGUAUAAAAUAAUUUUAAAUAAAAAAAUAUAACCAGCGAAUGAACACGCAGGAUAUGAAACACGCUUUAUUUAACUCCGAUAUUAUAAUAUAGCAAUCAGUAAACACGGUAUGAACGAUAAUGCAUGAUAAUACGCGAUAUGAAUGAUAAUAGAUAGUAGCGUAUAUAGCCACCUCGUUCCAGGGAUCGCGCUAAAAAACAAGACAGAGGGCGCGUUUUCGUAACGAGGAAGGGCGAAUUAGCAUUUUAUUGGUGUCGCGUCUUGCAAUAGCUUUGGGCAGAGAAAUAAACGAGGGGGGGGACGUUAAACUUCAUCGUCCAUCGGACACGCCUUGUCGCUGCAGGUGUGCUCCGCUAGGCCGUUAUUUAUUGCACAAACCCUCGUCGCAGCCUCCUACAACGAGGCUAUGCGUUUCGUUAUUUAUACGUUGGACGCGAUGCUCAUUUUUGCACUCACACGGUCCACGCUCACGGAAUAUUCGUCCCCAACCUCUAAAACGCCACCUUUCGAACACCGAUUCAACUUUCGCUUUGCUCGACCAAGACUCGACGAAGGGAUCGCGUGUUGGUCCGGGACGACGUGUCUUACACACCGCGUGAAACCUUAGAUGGGAAUUGUUCGGCCGCCCCGGCGUGUCCUCUCCAAGUCGAAGCUAGUCGAAGAUACUUGAUCUUGAUAGGAGGUAGGUCUCUCGAGGAACCGGUCGUGACUGUACCUACACGAGACAUCAUUAAUGCCACCGGGAAACGAGCGGCGAAACGAAAAUCGUCGGCCGUUGCCGGGAAGAGGGUGGCUGCCGGGUGCCUUCUCUUCUUGAACCGCGCACACGAUUUCUCCGUCUGGUGGGCAGCAGGCCGGGGAAGGAAGAGGAAAAAGGAGCAAACCGGUCGCGGAACGAGGCGAAACCUCUAGGACGAUAAUUAGCGAUCGAGGGUCCCGAGGAAGACUCGGGCCAUCUCGUUAUCCACGCCACGGCGCCCAGCGUGACGUCAUCGCGCGUGUGGAGACUGCCACGAAGAGGGUAUAAGGUACGCGUCGCGUGCACACACGUAUGCGUAAACAGGUGUGCAUGUACGAGGCUCGCGCGAACAGUGGUAGAGAGGGAGUAUCUAUUGGGAGAAGAUGAAAGAGAGAAGAAGAGAGUGGAAAUGAGGUAAAAAAAGAAAGGGAGAAGAACAGAAUCCGAAUACACAUCGGGACUUUUAGCGUAUACGUAGAGAACGGGAGAAUCCUACGCUUGUGUGUAAAGUAUCCAUUGGAUGGUAGAGGGGGAAGACGCGCCGAAGUAUCCCGAAGUCGACCGAAAGGUUUCCCCCACUCGCGUCGACGAUUCAGUCGGAGCUUCGCUUUCGUGUUUCCUCGGUUGCUUUCAUGUCAGUACGUUCUCGGCCGAUGUUAGGGGUAGUUCGUCUCUCGAUACGACGACUCGCACGUGUAUCGUUUAUGCCGCGUCGCAUUCUCGAUCGUAUCAUCGUCGUGCUUGUCGAACGAGGGCGUGCGCACGAAGGAAAAUAUUUGGAGGAAACGUGUGUCUCCGGUAUCUUUGUGAGUCGUUGACUUGGGAAUGACUUGAACGUAGUAAGGAAGACGCGCACUGUAUGAUCUGCUACCGUGUGCAAGCUUCGUGACUGCUCGUCGUCUUCGCGUUGACACGCGUUACCGUGCAUACGUUUACGUAGCUGAUUUAGUGUAUCGGAUAUCGGGUUGUGUAUAUGGUGUGUACACAAAACUCCAACGGACCGAGGUUAGCCGUCUGGUGGCGGGCAACUAGGCAGAAAAAAAAUAUAAAACAAUACACGGAAGAAGAAGCGUCGAGGUUUCGUGUAGAGAAGAGUGGUGAUUUCUGAACUCCGUAAUCGCAGUUAUCCCGGUCUUCGUUUACCCGAUAAUGGAUUAAUUUUCGCCGGGGAAUUCACCCCGGCUGCAACCUGGUCUGGAGCAGAACACACAGCACCGCGGCAGCACUCAGCGAUAAAUCAAGCAAUUAUGUGUACAAUAAGUAAACCGACGAUAUCGGAAUGUCUCUUAUCUGCAAGAUCUUGCUUUCUAAAAUCGGAAUUGGAUACAUGCAUUAAUCGAGA
rnacentral:lncRNA from 1 species